rnacentral:piRNA from 1 species
AUGAAAUUAAUGUUAGAAGCCUGA